UUCAUGGGGUUUGCGACCGCCCCACGAGGCGCCAGCCGAAGAUCGCGUUCCCGCAUAUCCUGACCUGAGGAGGAACGCAGAUG
rfam:Gemmobacter megaterium strain DSM 26375 genome assembly, contig: Ga0111664_113